UGUUACCUGUCGUCGCUAUCCAGAGAUUUCCUCGCGAGCACAGCAGUGAUGCAGUAAUAGAGGACAAUGAUCCUUAUUCUACGGAUCCGUUGCAACGACACCGAGACGAACGAGACGAAAAUGGUCGCGACGAUCAUACGCCGUUCGUCAGUUACGAGUAGCUUCUCGAUUCAGUGCUUGACAGACGCCCACUUCAAAAACAACAGCCCAACAGCUGCUUCUGCGGGUUAUGCAAUCGGAGGAGCCGAACGUGUAUUGUGUUGCCGUGCAGUGGGCCCGGUAGCGACGCUCUGCACUAGCACAUUGUUCUAGUGCAUUACGGAGCAUCCUCUUUUUUCCCCGACCUAUGCUACCGGCUGCAACUUCCUGCUCCAACAGCCAACAGGUGUCUAUGAUUCACCAGCUGGAUCUGGGACUACCUGGAUGCGCUCUUGCUCGUCCAAUCGCCAUAUGAGGGUACAAACACAUUCAGAAGGAUAACAUAUUCCAUUGACAUGUUAUAGCUUACCUUACUAUGGAUACCAAUUCUUUUACAGUGCAGUAUAUUGUUAACACUAUGAGAUACUAUGAGUUUUGCUACUUGCCUGUAUUUGGAGCAAACUUGCGAAGUGGAGUAGUUCGUACUGAGCGAGCAUCCUCCAACAGGAAGAGACAGGGACACGAACACGCACAGCAAGACAAUCUGCUAUAUUAGCAACUAAGUAAAAGAUUACUAGAAGAAGCUGCUCACAGUUUUUCCAGAAGAGAUCCCAGAUUUUCCAGGUCUUGCACCUGUGCUCUUAAAUGUUAAUCCAAGUAAAGGAAAUGUCUUUGUUGUAUUCUGUCAUGGAGUUGCUAUAGUGAAGCAGAUAGUCUUGUUGCACAUGUUUGUGUCCCUGUCUUUUGCUGGUUGAAGAUGAUUGCCUGCAUUUGUAGGACGUACAUGUGUUUGCACACUUAUUCCAUUGUAUGCAGGUUUCUUUCAUAUAAAUUGCUGCUCUUUGCAUCCUUGUGCUCCACAGCAAUCCCGUGUUGCAAACUAACAAGCUGCAAGUAAAUCUUUCUGAUCAGUCCAGUUGUAACUCGUGUCAGUCAGCAUAACAUUGAGACAUGUCUCAUUCCUGCUGUCCAUGUCUUGUUACAGCUCUGUAAUGUGGUGUAGACGUACGUUGGGAACUGCACAAUAAAAGGAUAAGCAAAGCA